AAGCGUCGUAAGUUGAAUUUCGGGAUCAAUGUUUCGGUCAUGCCGUUGGUAUGUACUGAUAUUAUUGAUUUCUCACCUUCUAAAGAACCGUAGUGCCAUUAAUUUGGUGUCACGGGGAAUUAGGACUGUUACCUUGAAAAAAUUAGAGUGUUUAAAGCAGGCUCACGCUUGAAUACAUUAGCAUGGAAUAAUGAAAUAGGACAUCCGAUUCUAUUUUGUUGGUUUCUAGGAUCGAUGUAAUGAUUAAUAGGGAUAGUUGGG
rnacentral:rRNA from 1 species